GGGAGGGUAGCCCAGUCGGUUAGAGCGUGGUGCUGAUAACGCUGAGGUUGCAGGUGCAUAUUCUUGCAUUGUAGGGGGUCGGUCCA